GAUGAAGAACGUAGCGAAAUGCGAUAACUAAUGUGAAUUGCAGAAUUCCGUGAAUCAUCGAGUCUUUGAACGCACAUUGCGCCCCCUGGUAUUCCGGGGGGCAUGCCUGUCCGAGCGUCAUUGCAACCCUCAAGCACGGCUUGUCUAAUGGGCGGUUCGUCUGCGGCCAUCCGCCGGAGACGCCCCCGAAAUGCAGUGGGGAUGUUCGCUAAAUCGCAGCGUCAGGAAUGGAAAUAAACAAUGCUGACGGCUCGAUGUCGAACGUCCACCUAAGGCGUGCGGCCCCCCCGGGGUGUGCCGCCCAACCUCUCUCGGUUGACCUCGGAUCAGGUAGGGAUACCCGCUGAACUUAAGCAUAUCAAUAAGCGGAGGA
rnacentral:misc_RNA from 1 species